GACAGAGGGUGCAAACGUUGUUCGGAUUUACUGGGCGUAAAGCGCGUGUAGGCGGCCUUGCAAGUCGCGUGUGAAAGCCCCCGGCUCAACUGGGGAGGGUCACGCGAUACUGGUCGACUCGAAGGCAGGAGAGGGUAGUGGAAUUCCCGGUGUAGUGGUGAAAUGCGUAGAUAUCGGGAGGAACACCAGUGGCGAAGGCGACUACCUGGCCUGUUCUUGACGCUGAGGCGCGAAAGCUAGGGGAGCAAACGGG
rnacentral:rRNA from 1 species